AUGCUCCAAAUCAUAAUACAAUCCAUCCAUGACUUCAGACAGAUGAAAACAGUUCCUUCUAAAAAAAGAGGCUGAUGUUUUUAAAAGACAGUAAGAGAAGAAUGUCAGCUCCCCAUGGCUGCAGUAGAAAGUGCUGGAUGAGAGGAGCAUCUCCAGAGCAUGGAAGACAAAGCAGCUUUAUCCUCACCUUUUCCACCUCAAUUUCCAUUUUCCUCCAAGGCAAAACUCCCACUCCUGGCAGAUUAAAUGAAAUGAAGACACUGAGCUCUGCAAGUACACUGCUUUUUGAAUCCCAGAGUGAACUUGCUUGUCAAAUGCCUCUUUAAAAAGCAAGUGAAGAUAAUUACAAGUCAGCUGGAAGUGCUGCCAAGAUAUGACCUCCAGGAAGGCCCAGAAGACAAGUGAUAUUGUGUGGACUGCUACAGUGCAAUGUCUAACUGAUGCAAAAUGAAGAAUCAAUUUGAAAUUAAGAUGAGUAAAGGCAUCCAGCACUUACAGCAAAAAACACUGUCACCAGGCCCUGGGGAAAUGAAGACACCUCCCUUCCCUUCUCAGGCUCCCUUUCCCUGUCAGACUCUAGCUCUUAAAGGCUGUCAUCCUCCAAGGGUAUUCCCUAAGUACAGCAUAGCAUCUCUGUUACCCUUUGAAUUCAACAGUAUUGAUCUCCAACAUUCAUUCAUUCGUUUAGUCAAAAGUCAGCUGUCAAACACAAGUCACAAGUGCACAUUUAAGGAAUUCAUGGCCAAUAUUUGUCAUGUCAUUUCAUGAAUUGUCUGCAGGCACAUAAAACACACAAUA
rnacentral:lncRNA from 1 species